rnacentral:rRNA from 1 species
UACGGAGGAUGCGAGCGUUAUCCGGAUUUAUUGGGUUUAAAGGGAGCGUAGACGGUGAGACAAGUCUGAAGUGAAAGCCCGGGGCUCAACCCCGGGACUGCUUUGGAAACUGCCUGACUGGAGUGCUGGAGAGGCAAGCGGAAUUCCUAGUGUAGCGGUGAAAUGCGUAGAUAUUAGGAAGAACACCGGUGGCGAAGGCGGCUUGCUGGACAGUAACUGACGUUGAGGCUCGAAAGCGUGGGGAGCAAACAGG